UUGUUACCAUCGACUUAAAUUUCUCCGUUCCAUGACGGUCUUUAUUUGCUUUUCAUCCUGCACAUUUGCCGAUCACCUCCGCCACGCCAAACUCUCUUCCUUUUUUUAUAAUUAUUUUCUUUUUUAGACAGUCUCACUAUGCAAUGCAAGCUGGCCUUGAGCUGUCUUUGCAGUCCUGGCUAGUCUUGAACUCGCAAGUGACCUCCUGCCUCAGCCUCCCAAGUACUGGGAUGACAGGCGUGCGCCUCCACGCCCGACACCAAACGGUCUCUUGUGGAGCUUGCGUUCCAGCGGAGCAAAGCCCAAGCACCGGCGCACACGACUGCGCGCUGCGACCGGCGACCUCGGCAGGCCAGCGCGAGGAGCCCGCAGCAGGAGCCCAGGGCCCGGGAAACCGGGCUCGCGCAGCCACUUCCGGCCCCGCCGGAAGUUAGGGAGAGGACAGCAAGCGCAGGCCACACCGGGGGACGGCACGGCUCAAGAGCUGCCCCGAGGUAGCGUUAGGCGGGACGCGGCCUGGACAGGGGCACAGAGCGGCACAGGCGGAGAGGCCGCCCGGGCCGCCGUGACCCCGCUCCCCGGCCCCAGCCCACUCACCAGGUCGGGGCGGUAGUACCUGUGCACCGCCUCGGCGCCCGCGCACAUGGCCAGGAGGCUGGCGGCGAACAUCUUCAGGUGGGGUGUCCCAGGCUCGAGCCUGCAUUUCCGCAUCAGUUUAUCCUGCUGCGCGCACAGGGGAAACCGUGCGCCUUUGCCUCUCUUAGGAGUUUGACACUUGGGUGAGGUCACCGCCAGCGAGUGGGGUUAACCGCGCUCACUUUCCGGGUUCUUGGCGUCUUCUGCUACCUGACACAGCGCCAUGCCCAGGCAGUGGUGUCCUCGUGCGCUGCUGCUGCUGCUGCUGCUGCUGCUGCUGCUGCUGCUGCUGCUGCUGGAGAAGACACCAGCAGUCAACGUGACCUAGUUACCUGGAUUUUUAUGAGUGGGUUUUUUGUUGUUGGUGGUACUGGGAAUCGAACUCAGGACCUUGCGCUUGCCAGGCAGGUGUUUAUGCCGCUGAGCUAAAUCUCCGGCUUAACAUGAAUUUUUAGACAGUGAGUUUUGUUAAGCAAUGUUAGUGCAAAAAUGAAUUCUAAAGCAUUAAUUUUUUUAUGUGUAACACAAAUCAUGGUUCCUGCAUUUUAAAAAUAAUUGUACAGAGAUGUAUUUGACACAUAAUAAAUUCUCACAGAGUAUCCUUUUGAUGCAGUUCGUUCUGCGUGCACAUGAAACCAUUCCCACAGUGUAGGUAAUGAGCAUACCCAUCACCCUAAAAGUUUCUUUGUGCUUCUUUCUAAUGCUUCCCACACUGCUUCAUUCCCUAGGUAAUCACAGAGCUGCUCUCUGUCACGUUUCCAUAUUAUAGAGUGCUGUAUAGAAAUGGAAUAAAACACUCUGUACUGUU